UGAGGAACGUGCCCCAGAGACCGGAUAAGCCGAGGAAACUUGGUCUAAUACCGGAUGUCCCCACCGGAUCGCAUGGUCUGGUGAGGAAAUGGAUUCCGCUCUGGGAGCGUCUCGCGGCCUAUCAGCUAGUUGGUGAGGUAACGGCCCACCAAGGCGUCGACGGGUAGCUGGUCUGAGAGGAUGAUCAGCCACACUGGGACUGAGACACGGCCCAG
rnacentral:rRNA from 1 species